AUUGAACGCUGGCGGCAGGCCUAACACAUGCAAGUCGAGCGGAGCGGCGGACGGGUGCGUAAUGCCUAGGAAUCUGCCUGGUCGUGGGGGAUAACGUCCGGAAACGGGCGCUGAUGCCGCAUCCUCUUGGCAGAGCAUAUGUCGGAGUAGCUAUUUGGUGGGGUAAAGGCCGACCAAGGCGACGAUCCGUAACUGGUCUGAGAGGAUGAUCAGUCACACUGGAACUGAGACACGGUCAAGACUCCUACGGGAGGCAGCAGUGGUGAAUAUUGAACAAUGGGCGAAAGCCUGAUCCAGCCAUGCCGCGUGUGUGAAGAAGGUCUUCGGAUUGUAAAGUACUUUAAGCUAGGAGGCGUUACCCGCAGAAUAAGCACCGGCUAACUCCGUGCCAGCAGCCGCGGUAAUAC
rnacentral:rRNA from 1 species